ensembl:lncRNA
CUCCAGUAUAGAGAUCUGGGUAACUGAAGCUCCAGUAUAGAGAUCUGGGUAACUGAAGCUCCAGUAUAGAGAUCUGGGUAACUGAAGCUCCAGUAUAGUUAGGAAGCCUGAUGAACCAAACCACUCAUCUAUCUGAUAUCAACACAUUUCAUCACUUUACUGCAGACUGAAUGGGAUCUUUCCAGGGUAACUUGUCAUCUAUUAAAACUCCCUGGAAUCUACUGGAUGUGACUUGUUCCGUUUCAUUCACACCAAUUGAGAUUCUGGCUCUUUAACAAUAUUUCUUAUUCUUACUAUUGAAUACAAUAACAUAGGAUUUUGUUUUAUUUAAAGAUUAAUUGUGUAUUUGGAACCAUUCAGAAAAUUUGGCAAUGCCUGUGUUAGCUUAAUUAAUUAGUGAAUCAAAAGUAUUGUGUUAUAAAAUCUAAUUGAUGUCAUCAGCAAAGAGAAUGAGAAGUACAGUAGAAGACAAAGCAGUAAGGUUAUUGAUAUAGAUUCGAAUGGAUUGGUAGAAGACACAGCAACAAGGUUAUUGAUAUAGAUUAGAAUGGAUUGGUAGAAGACACAGCAACAAGGUUAUUGAUAUAGAUUAGAAUGGAUUGGUAGAAGACACAGCAACAAGGUUAUUGAUAUAGUUUAGUAUGUAAUGGUAGAAGACACAGCAACAAGGUUAUUGAAAUAGAUUAGUAUGGAUUGGUAGAAGACACAGUAACAAGGUUAUUGAUAUAGAUUAGUAUGGAAUGGUAGAAGACACAGCAACAAGGUUAUUGAUAUAGAUUAGUAUGGUAGAAGACCCAGCAGUAAGGUUAUUGAUAUAGAUUAGUAUGGAUUGGUAGAAGACAGCAACAAGGAUAUAGAUUAGUAUGGAAUGGUAGAAGACACAGUAACAAGGUAUUGAUAUAGAUUUGUAUGUUAUGGUAGAAGACACAGCAACAAGGUUAUUGAUAUAGAUUAGUAUGGUAGAAGACACAGUAACAAGGUUAUUGUUAUAGAUUAGUAUGGUAGAAGACUCAGCAGUAAGGUUAUUGAUAUAGAUUAGUAUGGUAGAAGACUCAGCAGUAAGGUUAUUGAUAUAGAGUUGAAGUCUGAAGUUUACAUACACUUAGGUUGUAGUCAUUAAAACUCAUUUUUCAACCACUCCACACAUUUCUUGUUAACAAACUAUGGUUUUGGCAAGUCGGUUAGAUCUACUUUGUGCGUGACACAGGUCAAUUUUCCAACAAUUGAUUACAGACAGAUUAUUUCACUUAUAAUUCACUGUAUCACAAUUCCAGUGGGUCAGAAGUUAACAUACACUAAGUUGACUGCCUUAAACAGCUUGUAAAAUUCCAGAAAAUGAUGUCAUGGCUUCAGAAGCUUCUGAUGGGCUAAUUGACAUAAUUUGAGUCAAUUGGAGGUGUACCUGUGGAUAUAUUUCAAGGCCUACCUUCAAACUCAGUGCCUCUUUGCUUGACAUUGGAAAAUCAACAGAAAUCAGACAAGACCUCAGAAAAAUAUUUGAGACCUUCAAAAGCCUGGUUCGUCCUUGGGAGAAAUUUCCAAACGCCUGAAGGUACCACGUUCAUCUGUACAAACAAUAGUACGCAAGUAUAAACACCAUGGGACCACGCUCCAAAACCGCCGUAAAAUAGCCAGAUUACGGUUUGCAACUGCACAUGGGGACAAAGAUGGUUCUUUUUAGAGAAAUGUCCUCUGGUCUGAUGAAACAAAAAUAGAACUGUUUGGCCAUAAUGACCAUCGUUAUGUUUGGAGGAAAAAGGGGGAGGCUUGCAAGCCAAAGAAUACCAUCCCAACUGUGAAGCACGGGGGUGGUAGCAUCAUGUUUGCUGCAGGAGGGUCUGGUGCACUUCACAAAAUAGAUGGCAUCAUGACGGAGUAAAAUGAUGUGG